rnacentral:rRNA from 1 species
UACGGGGGGGGCAAGCGUUGUUCGGAAUUACUGGGCGUAAAGGGCUCGUAGGUUGCCAACUAAGUCAGACGUGAAAUCCCUCGGCUUAACCGGGGAACUGCGUCUGAUACUGGAUGGCUUGAGAUUGGGAGAGGGAUGCGGAAUUCCAGGUGUAGCGGUGAAAUGCGUAGAUAUCUGGAGGAACACCGGUGGCGAAGGCGGCAUCCUGGACCAACACUGACACUGAGAAGCGAAAGCCAGGGGAGCAAACGGG